CUAGUACUACCUCCGUCCGGAAAUACUUGUCAUCAAAAUGAAUAAAAGGGGAUGUAUCUAGAUGUAUAUUAGUUCUAGAUACAUCCCUUUUUAUCCAUUUUGAUGACAAAUAUUUUCUGACGGAGGGAGUAUAUG
rfam:Triticum aestivum genome assembly, contig: Triticum_aestivum_CS42_TGACv1_scaffold_221330_3B